rnacentral:rRNA from 1 species
GAUGAACGCUGGCGGCGUGCCUAAUACAUGCCAGUCGAGCGAACAGACGAGGAGCUUGCUCCUCUGACGUUAGCGGCGGACGGGUGAGUAACACGUGGAUAACCUACCUAUAAGACUGGGAUAACUUCGGGAAACCGGAGCUAAUACCGGAUAAUAUAUUGAACCGCAUGGUUCAAUAGUGAAAGACGGUUUUGCUGUCACUUAUAGCUGGAUCCGCGCCGCAUUAGCUGGUUGGUAAGGUAACGGGUUACCAAGGCAACGAUGCGUAGCCGACGUGAGAGGGUGAUCGGCCACACUGGAACUGAGACACGGUCCAGACUCCUACGGGAGGCAGCAGUAGGGAAUCUUCCGCAAUGGGCGAAAGCCUGACGGAGCAACGCCGCGUGAGUGAUGAAGGUCUUCGGAUCGUAAAACUCUGUUAUUAGGGAAGAACAAAUGUGUAAGUAACUAUGCACGUCUUGACGGUACCUAAUCAGAAAGCCACGGCUAACUACGUG